ACAGAACACGGAGGCUGUAUUGGAUCUCGCCAGUUGAAUAUUUUAAUUCAUCUUUCCAAUGGACAUAGAAGAACAGAAAAGAACACAGUACAGCUCCAGUGAACCUCAUCAUUUCUGAGCACCCAGAGGGAACAAACCGAGUGAGGCUGAAAAUACCCUGAAUGCAGUCAGCAAUAUUCUAAAAAGUAUUCAGCACAUCAGAAAGAAUAUCACUACAGAACUGUCUACGCUGUCAGCAGUACAAGUUACAGAAUGAAUUACUACUGAAUCUCAAUUUAGGGAUCAGGAGAGGAUGUGCUGAGUAAGUGAAAACACAGAAGCAAAGCGACAUGCCAUGGCUUUGUGGAUAUGUGGAUACAAGCAAUUACAGCUUAAUAGAUGUGGGUAAGCUGGUGAACAGAUAGAGGUUCUGCACUUCUUCAUGGUUUGCCCAAAGAUCAACAUUCUAAAUAUACCUUAUCUAAGACAACAAAUAAUGAAAUUGUCAAGUGAACUUGAACAUCAGAAUAAAUUUGAGAAAUCUCCUUAUAUCAAAAAGAAGCUUCAGAAAAAAAAUAGCAAGACAAGUUGUAGUUAAGUGCUGAAGAAUGAAAGGAUUGCUUUCCAGCAUUUUUAUUCCAGCUUCAGCAUAUUUUAUUUUAUAUAUAUAUAAAUAUAUAUACACACAUAAUUACAUACAUAUAUACACACACACACAUAUAUCUAUGCAGUGUUUUUCCCUCAAGGAAUAAGCCAUCUUAUUUAUGUCAUAGCUGAGAGGUGUGAAUUUCCUUCGCGCUUUAUCCAGCUUCAUAGAUGAAUCCCUGUUGGCAGAUCACACUGCACAGAAGACUGGUGAGUGACAGAGGCCACUGAUUACUAAUGGCCACAUCAGGAGGAAUUGCACUGUGAGGGAAGAUACCCACUUCCUCCUCAUCCCUAAUUUUGGGGUCUUGUUUCUAGAGAGUCCAUUGGAAGGAUUCACAUGGGGGACAGAGAAAUAAAAUACUAUCCACGUUCAUAAAAAGGUGUUUUCCUAAGCAACCACACUUCCCUCCCCCUCUAAACUCAAGGAGUGAGAAUAAAGCCUCCUGACAGGCUAUUCUCUUACUGUGCCAUGUUUCAAAGCCUUAUAAGGAGAAGAAACUGUGGCAUAAUUAAUACAUUGGAUAGCUGAAGACAUUACUGAAUCGUUAAACUGCAGCAUUUAACUGCAGUUAAAGUAUUCUUGGCCCCUAGGUCUUUACCAUUGUAUAAUCAUGAUCAGCUGUUUUAGAUAAACUAUGGAGAAAGUAAGAUAAAUCUUCCCAAAAUUUACAGUGAAGAAUAAAAUUCAGCAUAUAGCUUUCCCCUGCUCAUGGAAUUGAAUCAAUCAAUACUGCAUUAUGCUAUUGCUGGAGUGCAUAGUAGCAAUCACUGUUUGACAGUAAGGGUAUUUUGCACAGCAGUGAAGGUUAUCUAUAUAAUUUGUUUUAAACCUUUGGGUUCCCUAUGUUAGUCCUUUGGGAGAACUGCAGGAAACCUUGCUCUGUACAUUUUCUGUUUGCUGAAAAUUGUAACAUAGUCAUCAGAAAAAGAAAAAGAGAGAAAGAGAGAAAGAGAGAAAGAGAGAAAGAGAGAAAGAAAGAAAGAAAGAAAGAAAGAAAGAAAGAAAGAAAGAAAGAAAGAAAGAAAGAAAGAAAGAAAGAAAGAAAGAAGGAAAGAAAGAAAGAAAGAAAGAAAGAAAGAAAGAAAGAAAGAAAGAAAGAAAGAAAGAAAGAAAGAAAGAAAAGAAAAAAAAAUCAAAAGGAUAACAAAGCUUUGCUAAUAGGAAUGAUCCAUACACCCAGACAGAUGCGUUUUCCUGUGGACAGUGGAAAGAAUGCAGAUGUAAUUGGAACCCAUUGGAACCCAUUUUUGCCCAGGAGAUCUCAGAUGGAAGUCUGGAAGUCCUGACUGAAAAAAAUGAAGUGGAAUUCAGAGCAAUUUUUUGCCACUUCUUUCCAAUUCAGUUUUCAGCACGACUACAAAGGGACUUCUUGCUUCAGGCCAGGCUGGAUGAUUUGUGAAGCCACGGAAGUAAAAAUAAAGUAAAGCUGUCCUUCAAGAAACUGAAUAAACUGUUUUGGUUGAGUGUGUGGUUUUCUAAAUACAUGCAGAAAGAUGUAUACCCCAAACAUGUAUUUAGCAGAAUGGAUUUUGUUAAUGUCAAUAGCUAAAUACCAUAUUGGUUUGUUUUAUCAGCAUGCACAAUACUUACUUUUUAAAUGAUUCCAUCACUGUAUGUGGUUUAUGUAAAGCAAGUAAACUGAGAUUUCAUGUAAUUACAGUAAUUAAAAAGAGAGGUGGACAGGGCAGACUAUUUGUUAUACCAUGUAUGAUAAGAAGAUAGAGGCACCAUUCAAAGAGUUAUGACUUGUUAGUGAGUAGUAGACUCUUGAAAUUGUCAAGAAGUGUUGUUUGAAAAAAACAAAUGAAGAGAAGCAGAUAAAAUCAUCUAUUAUUAACUAAUGUAAGCAUAUGAAUUUCAGCGUGCAGCAUGCUUGCUACCGAUAGUCAUGGUGCAUUGUUACAGUGAAUUAAUAACAUUGUCACAAUGGAUAAUAUCACAUUUUCUGGCUAUACAAGUGAAAGGAAAACUAUCAGAAUUU